UGUGCCCAUCCCCCCCUUGGACAGUUUUGUUCUCAACCGCGAUGGCUCCAAGAGCGAGAAGCAGAGAAUGUGCUGGCUGCACAGAGCGAUGCCUCGUAACCCGUGCUGACGGAACAAGGCCCGGAGGGGCUCCGAUGACUCACUGUAAACAGGUUAACAAGGCCCCGCUGCUGUGAGUCAUCCUCCCAGGCCGAGGCCAGCUGGGUCCCAGCACCAUCUAGAUUGUCUUAUCAGCUGUCAUAGGACAACCUGCCUUCAGAGUCAUCUCGGAGGUGACCCACAUUGUCUCUGAGAGCCACCGUUGACGGCAGGACCGCAAAGCCAUCGUCCUUCCCACGCACCCACCACCCACUCCCCGCCGGUGUUCUCAGACCUUCAGGCUGCAGGGCUGAACACUGUGAGAGACUGAUCAAAAAAUAUCCUGACCUCUAAUUCUCUGCUAAACCCAAGCAGACCUCGCCUUCUAGAAACUGCUAUUGUCGCACAACGAGUAAGGACUCAGUGUUAAAGAAAAUGGAAAGUGAUAAGGCGCUUCAAACCGUUUACAUCGAGCCCAUUCAGCCCACGCAUUCACAAUCAUCUGAAGGCCGUGAACAGAGCAGCAUAAUUCAUCUGUAGCAGCCAUCCCCUUUGACAUCUCCGAGCUUGAGAGCAACUGCCUUUCAGAGUGCAGGGCUGGAAAAAGAGUAGGGGAUGGGGCUAGCAUUUCCUUGUGAAAGUACACAUCAAAAGCUGUAUCAGCCAUGAAAUCUGAUGUGCGCGGCCUCACAUGAGCUCAGCUGCCAGGGACCUCAUCCCAGAAGCUUCCAUCCCUCCCCCCGAGAAGGUACAGAGAGAGAAGUAACACCAAUUAAUUUCCUGGUAACCACUGGAGGGUCACUCUUUGAUGCUCAGCCAAGAAGGGCAUCUCCAGCUUAGGGGUCUGGAGUAGAGAACUGAGUGUGUCAGAUCACAGGGCAGAUGAGGCCAAAGAUAGCCUUGAAUGAGGCCGUCUGAUCCAGGGCCCAAGAUCCUUGAAGUCGAGGUCCCUGUGUGAAGUUCCUGUUGCCCUGAUCUCUGCCCAUUUGCACCAAGAGAGCACAGAAUUCAUUGCAAGUGAUGGACUCCUUUGGGUCAUUUUUCCCCCUGCUUCUCACAUUGUAAUGUGCAUACAAAUCCCCCUAGGGAUCUUCUUAAAACAGAUUCUAACUCAGUACAUCCGGGGCAGCCCGAGAGUCUGCAUUUCUAACAAGCUUCCGGGUGAUGCUGAAGCUGUUCUGGUCCACAGACCACACUCUGGGUCUCGAGGCCCUCAUUUAGUUUCCACCCAAGGCCAAGUAGGCAGGUGAGAGGGUCAGAGGUCAGGACAGACAGGUAUCAUGUGCAGCCACAGCAUCAGUGACAGCAGCAAGUGGGGCUCCUUCUCUUUAAAGAGCCUCCCAUCCCAGUAUUGAAAGGUGGCCCAUGGUGUCCCCAAAAUAGUCUGAUCUUUCCAGCAUCCCCUGAAGGCAUUUAAUCAGCACUUACUGUCUUCCUUCCUCUGCUCACCUAGUGCCCACACUAUUAGAACCAGGUAACCUGAGAGCUCCUGAAGAUGGCCACGAUCAUCCGACAGGAGCUGCUCACCCAACAGCUUCAUCGCUUUGCAGGCAGCAUGUACAAUGGCUAAAAACCAGCAAAACCAGCAUUCAUGCCAGGCUUCUUGGGGUUUAUCUGGAUUUUGCCUCUUAUAAGUUGUAAGGCCUUAGAGAGCUUCAGUUUCUUCAUCAAUAAAAUGGGGGUAAUAAUAGGGUUGAAGUAAAGAGUACGGACCUCUCAUUGCACUAGCUAUAAAGUGCUAGUGCAUAGUAAGUACCUAAUAAAUGUUAGUUACCAUAAACAGCAUUAUAAUCUAUUAUUAUUCAGAAUUAGAAGCUAUACCAAAGCUCAAUCUGCCAUGAAACUGAUCGGCCAGCUACCAGAAGCCGUCUUGGAGCCCAGGGUUUAUUGCAUCCCCCAAAUCUCCCUCUCCCCUAAGAGUGUUUACCCAUUGAUAAAUGAUGGAAGAUAGUCCUUUGAGAGAGACACUGGAGGUCUCCCAUUUCCAACCUUUGUCACCCAAAUGAUAAAUCUCAGGAAGCUUGACAAGCAAGUCUAGGAUUAGAUAUUUGUGUCAGGGUAUGUCUGCUUUAAACACAGGGGGCUGUAUCAGAUCCUAGGGCUGCCAUAACAAAUUAUUAAAAGCCAGGUGGCUUAAAACAAUAGAAACUUAUUCUCUCAGUUCUGGAGGCUAGAAGUCUCAAAUCAAUUGUCAGCAGGGCCAUGCUUCCUCUGAAGGCUCUAGGGGAGGAUCCUCCCUUCCCUCUUCCAGGUUCUGCUGGCUCUGAGCAUCCCUUGGCUUGUGGCAGCACAACUCUAGACUCUGUCUUCACAAGAACUUAGUUCUAUGUGUCUCUCUGUCCUCUCUUCUUAUAAGAACACCAGUCAUUGGAUUUAGAGUCUACCCUAAACCUAGGAUGAUCUCAUCUCAAGAUCACUAACUACAUCUGCAAAAGCCCUAUUUCCAAAUCAGGUCACAUUCUGAGGUUCUGGGUGGACAUGAAUUUUGAAAGAACAGUAUUCAACCCACUUCAGGGACAAUCACCGGAAAAUGGCCCAAGCCCUGUUCUCAGCUACCUUGCAGUACGCACCCUUUAUGUACAUAUGUAGACUGUGCGGGACAGAGGGGCACUUGGGGGCGAGAAGCAUGCCUUUCUUCCCAUCCUUCCCUCCAAUGCCAAAGGACCACACCUAGAGGAGCAGAGCUUGGAGCACCAGGAGUCUGGAAGACGUCACUCACAAACAACUCAAGGCUCAGGAGAUAUUCAGCCUUGAGGGCCAUGUGAGACUCGCCUGCUUCUCCUUUGCUUCCCACCAUGAUUGUAAGUUUCCUGCGACCUCCCCAGCCAUGCUUCCUGUACAGCCUGCAGAACUGUUCAUAGGCAGAAGUAACUUGCCUUGUCUCAGAUGAAGCUUUGGACUGUGGACUUUUGAGUUAAUGCUGAAAUGAGUUAAGACUUUGGGGGACUGUUGGGAAGACAUGAUUGGUUUGAAAUGUGAGGACAUGAGAUAUGGGAGGGGCCGAGGUGGAAUGAUAUGGUUUGGCUGUGUCCCCACCCAAAUCUCAUCUUGAAUUGUAGCUCUCACAAUUCCCACAUGUCAUGAGAGGGACCUGGUGGGAGAUAACUGAAUCACUGGGGCGGGUCUUUUUCACGCCAUUCUCAUGAUAAAUAAGUCUCAUGAGGUCUGAUGGUUUUAUAAGGGGGGUUUCCCUGCACAAGUUCUCUCUUCCCUGCCACCAUGUAACACAUGUCUUUUGCCUUCUGCCAUGACUGUGAGGCCUCCCCAGCCAUGUGGAAUUGUACUUCCAUUAAACCUCUUUUUCUUUAUAAAUUACCCAAUCUCAGGUAUGUCUUUAUCAGCAGCACGAGAACAGACUAAUACACUAUGGGUGCCCCAAAUUCUGCACACUGAGGAAAUCUCCCUUGAUUAAUGUUCUACAUGCCCAUGUAUUAGAUAGGUCUGGGGAGGGAUUCCCCUUCUAGAGGAUACACUGCCCUAGAAUUCUAUUUUCUGGUGGCAUAAUUAAGGGGGUCUGGGGGUUGCCUUUUGGUUUGAGUAAUCACAGAUCCAAUUUGCCAGUUUAGUUAUAUUAGGCCAUCUAACUCCUUUAAAAUUCUGGUCUUAUACCUGAAAAUUGUUUUCUGGUAUCUCCUUUGAGCUGAAAUACCCACAAGAGAAAUCCUGCUAAGUUAUAGUCUUUGAAUCUGAACACAUCUAUUGCCAUUUCUGUCAUUCAGAAAUAAUCUUCUCAGAAAAUUUGGACUGAAUUGACUUUUGGUAAAUAAAAUUCUGGUGCAUUUUCAUAUUGAAUCUGAAUUUCCUCUAAAAUUGUUUAAGAACAACCUGAUUUAAGUGCACUUGAAAAUAACACAAUGAAAACAUUUUCUAAGCUAUCCAAACCUUAGUUCUGUUAUAAUCACAUGCAAGCAGAAAAAACCCACCCACUCUCCAGAAGUUCAGUGGGGAAUAAACAUCGACUUUUUGUAUAAUAUAAGAUGACUGAUAGGCACAAUCAUAACUAUAUUGUCAGGCAUUUUUGCCACUAUAUUCAGAGGCAAAGUUAGCUAGCCAAGUUAACUUUGUUUGAAAACCAAAUGAAAUGUCAAUCUAUCAAACUUUUGGGGUGCUGUCUCUAAAGCUGGAGUUGAAACUCACUCAUGUCUGUAGAACAAUUUCCCCGCUCUUCCUUAAUCGUAUAGCAGUGUCUGUACAAAAUAAAUAAGUUUGUGAGUAUAUAAAUUAACCAUCCUUCUUUUGGAUGGUUAUAUUUUCAUUUGACAAAGCAGUCUGGGAGUUAUCUGGUUAUUUUUAUUAGCACAGAUCACUGCAUUGAUUAGAAUUCUGGGCUGCAAGCAGCAAAGACCAAGUCUAGCUGAUGAUAUAGAAAAUUAGUUCCCAUUAAAGGAGAGUGCACUGCUCCCUAAACUUUUGGAAAAGCUGAAGCUUGAGUCUAAGAUUUACACAUCAAUGACCAAAACCACACCAUAGAACUGUCCUACUGAUGAGUCCUCCUUCACUUCUUCCACCACCACUGUCCCCCUGGUUCCACUCGACCUUGCAGAUUGACAUGAUUUGGUUGUAUCCCCACCCAAAUUUCAUAUCAAAUUGUAAUCUGAAUUGUAAUCUCCACCUGCUGAGGAGGGACCUGGUGGGAGGUGACUGGGUGGUUUCCCCCAUGCUAUUCUCAUGAUAGUGAUGGAGUUCUCAUGAGAGCUGAUGGUUUUAAGUGUGGCACUUCCUUGCUUUCACUCUCUCUCUCUCUCUUUCUCUCCUGCCACAAUGUAAGAUGUGCCUUGCUUCCCCUUCACUUUCCACUAUGACUGUAAUUUUCCUGAGGCCUCCCCAGCCAUGCAGAACUGUGAAUCAAUUAAACCUCUUUCCUUUAUAAAUUACUGAGUCUCAGGCAUUAUUUAUAGUCGUAUGAAAAUGGACUAAUACACAGACGCUCCAUCCCUGAAAGCCAGAAAC